rnacentral:rRNA from 1 species
UACGGAGGGGGCUAGCGUUGUUCGGAAUUACUGGGCGUAAAGCGCACGUAGGCGGCUUUUUAAGUCAGGGGUGAAAUCCUGGAGCUCAACUCCAGAACUGCCUUUGAUACUGGGAAGCUUGAGUCCGGGAGAGGUGAGUGGAACUCCGAGUGUAGAGGUGAAAUUCGUAGAUAUUCGGAAGAACACCAGUGGCGAAGGCGGCUCUCUGGGACGGUACUGACGCUGAGACGCGAAAGCGUGGGGAGCGAACAGG